AUACGGAGGGUGCAAGCGUUGUGCGGAAUCACUGGGCGUAAAGGGCGCGCAGGCGGUUUGGUAAGUCAGAUUUGAAAGCCCACGGCUCAACCGUGGAAGUGCAUUUGAAACUGCCAGACUUGAGUACCAGAGGGGAAAGUGGAAUUCCCGGUGUAGAGGUGAAAUUCGUAGAUAUCGGGAGGAAUACCGGUGGCGAAGGCGACUUUCUGGCUGGAUACUGACGCUGAGGCGCGAAAGCGUGGGGAGCAAACAGGAUUAGAAACCCUAGUAGUCC
rnacentral:rRNA from 1 species